CCUACGGGUGGCAGCAGUGAGGAAUAUUGGUCAAUGGACGAGAGUCUGAACCAGCCAAGUAGCGUGAAGGAUGACUGCCCUAUGGGUUGUAAACUCCUUUUAUAUGGGAAUAAAAUGUUCCACGUGUGGGAUUUUGUAUGUACCAUAUGAAUAAGGAUCGGCUAACUCCGUGCCAGCAGCCGCGGUAAUACGGAGGAUCCGAGCGUUAUCCGGAUUUAUUGGGUUUAAAGGGAGCGUAGGUGGAUUGUCAAGUCAGUUGUGAAAGUUUGCGGCUCAACCGUAAAAUUGCAGUUGAAACUGGCAGUCUUGAGUACAGUAGAGGUGGGCGGAAUUCGUGGUGUAGCGGUGAAAUGCUUAGAUAUCACGAAGAACUCCGAUUGCGAAGGCAGUUCACUGGACUCCAACUGACACUGAGGCUCGAAAGUGUGGGUAUCAAACAGGAUUAGAUACCCCAGUAGUC
rnacentral:rRNA from 1 species